rnacentral:rRNA from 1 species
AACGAACGCUGGCGGCAUGCCUAACACAUGCAAGUCGAACGAUCCCUUCGGGGAUAGUGGCGCACGGGUGCGUAACGCGUGGGAACCUGCCCUUAGGUUCGGAAUAACUCAGAGAAAUUUGAGCUAAUACCGGACAAUGUCUUCGGACCAAAGAUUUAUCGCCUUUGGAUGGGCCCGCGUUGGAUUAGCUAGUUGGUGGGGUAAAGGCCUACCAAGGCGACGAUCCAUAGCUGGUCUGAGAGGAUGAUCAGCCACACUGGGACUGAGACACGGCCCAGACUCCUACGGGAGGCAGCAGUGGGGAAUAUUGGACAAUGGGCGAAAGCCUGAUGCAGCAAUGCCGCGUGAGUGAUGAAGGCCUUAGGGUUGUAAAGCUCUUUUACCCGGGAUGAUAAUGACAGUACCGGGAGAAUAAGCCCCGGCUAACUCCGUG